rnacentral:rRNA from 1 species
AGAAAUUUGGAUUAAUACCUCAUAGUAUUAUUUUAAGGCAUCUUUAAAUAAUUAAAACUCCGGUGGUUAAAGAUGAGUAUGCGUUCUAUUAGUUUGUUGGUGAGGUAACGGCUCACCAAGACUACGAUAGAUAGGGGGCCUGAGAGGGUGAUCCCCCACACUGGUACUGAGACACGGACCAGACUCCUACGGGAGGCAGCAGUGAGGAAUAUUGCGCAAUGGAGGAAACUCUGACGCGGCCAUACCGCGUGUAGGAAGAAUGUCCUAUGGAUUGUAAACUACUUUUAUACAAGAAGAAACCCCAAUACGUGUAUUGGGCUGACGGUAUUGUAAGAAUAAGCACCGGCUAACUCCGUGCCAGCAGCCGCGGUAAUACGGAGGGUGCAAGCGUUAUCCGGAUUUAUUGGGUUUAAAGGGUCCGCAGGCGGGAUUCUAAGUCAGUGGUGAAAGCCUACAGCUCAACUGUAGAACUGCCAUUGAUACUGGAAUUCUUGAGUGUGGUUGAAGUAGACGGAAUAUGUCAUGUAGCGGUGAAAUGCAUAGAUAUGACAUAGAACACCAAUUGCGUAGGCAGUUUACUAAACCAUUACUGACGCUCAUGGACGAAAGUGUGGGGAGCGAACAGGAUUAGAUACCCUGGUAGUCCACACCGUAACUAUGAUCACUAGAUGUUGGCGAUAUACUGUCAGUGUCUUAGAGAAAUCGUUAAGUGAUCCACCUGGGGAGUACGUUCGCAAGAAUGAAACUCAAAGGAAUUGACGGGGGCCCGCACAAGCGGUGGAGCAUGUGGUUUAAUUCGAUGAUACGCGAGGAACCUUACCAAGGCUUAAAUGUAAAACGACCGACUGAGAAAUCAGUCUUUUUUCGAACGGUUUACAAGGUGCUGCAUGGUUGUCGUCAGCUCGUGUCGUGAGAUGUUGGGUUAAGUCCCAUAACGAGCGCAACCCUUACCCUUAUUUGCCAGCGGUUCGGCCGGGAACUAUAAGGGGACUGCCGGUGACAAACCGGAGGAAGGUGAGGACGACGUCAAGUCAUCAUGGCCCUUACGAGUAGGGCUACACACGUGCUACAAUGGGGAAUACAGACGGACGCUAAAGCGUGAGCUGGUGCCAAUCCUAAAAAAUUUCUCGUAGUCCGGAUUGCAGUCUGCAACUCGACUGCAUGAAGUCGGAAUCGCUAGUAAUCGCGAAUCAGCAUGUCGCGGUGAAUACGUUCUCGGGUCUUGUACACACCGCCCGUCACACCAUGGAAGUGUGUUGCACCAGAAGUAGGUAGUCUAACCUUCGGGAAGGCGCUUACCACGGUGUGAUCCAUGACUGGGGUGAAGUCGUAACAAGGUAACCGUA